CCACUGCGCCCUGGGCUAUCGUGGCGACUACUGCGAGGAGGCCGAGGUGCAGCCCCUGGCAGGACCCAUUGUGCUGGGGAUAGCCGUGCUCCUGCUGCUGGCUGCUGCUGCUGUGGGGGCCCUGGCCUACAUGCGGAGGCGGGACAGGCGGAGGAGGACCUCGAGCACUGCUUCCACUCGGGUGCUGACCCUGUACCACCGUGAAAGUGAUCCAGAGGAAGAGGAUGAGGAGGAGGAAGAGCUUCCCCCCAAGAGUGAUACAUUUGUCAAUGAAGCUUAUGAAGGGAAAGAGGAGCUGCCAGCCCUGCUGAGGAAAGGACCAUCUCACAUCAACACCGUAAUUUCAUAAAGGAACGUUGUGCAG